AGGACGAACGCUGGCGGCGUGCUUAACACAUGCAAGUCGAGCGGUAAGGCCUUUCGGGGUACACGAGCGGCGAACGGGUGAGUAACACGUGGGUGAUCUGCCCUGCACUCUGGGAUAAGCCUGGGAAACUGGGUCUAAUACCGGAUAUGACCUGCUCUCGCAUGGGGGUGGUGGAAAGAUUUAUCGGUGCAGGAUGGGCCCGCGGCCUAUCAGCUUGUUGGUGGGGUAAUGGCCUACCAAGGCGACG
rnacentral:rRNA from 1 species